AUGGACAAUGAGUACUCAAUGGGAUACUAUCUCACCGAUGGCAUCUAUUCCGAAUGGGCAACUCUUGUGAAGUCCAUCAAGGAGAAAAAUGGGGUGCCCUUAACAAGAAAAGAGGCUCAUUUCACCAAGGCACAAGAGGCAGCCCGCAAGGAUAUUGAGAGAGCUUUCGGUGUUUUGCAAGCAAGGUUUGCCAUAGUUCGGGGUCCAGCUCGGUUUUGGGACAAAAAAACCUUGGUGAACAUCAUGAAAUGUUGUGUGAUUCUACACAACAUGAUCCUAGAGGAUGAGAGAGGGUUAAACCUCCCUUGUUUCUAUGACAAUGUUGGUACCUGUGUGCAAUCGGAAAGAAACCCUUCUCGCAUACACGCUUUUCUUCAAGCACAUCGUGAGAUUGAGGAUGCAACCACUCAUGGUCGCCUCCGGGAUGAUCUAGUAGAGCACCACUGGCAGUUGGAUGGGCAGCGCAUUGGCCCAUGA
rnacentral:rRNA from 1 species